GAGGAUUUAUUUUUUUAAAGUACAAGAAUUCUUUUGAACCCUCCAUGGCUCCAUGACAAACUAUUUGAAAUGUCCCUGCUUAAGGGGCCAGGGGGUUAAGUGCCAGGGAUGGUAGGCUAAAUGCCAGGGAUGCUGGUUGCAGGGAUUCUUGGGACCCGGGCUAAUGGCCUCCCUGCUGUGGGCCCAGGAAUACCAGGCCCGGGCUCUGGUUGCCCUGAGAGAUGCAGCCAUUUUUACUUCUGAUUGAAGGGCACCCCCUUCUGGGAUUUUCCCUUCUCUGGUGAAAACCAGAGUAGAAUAUGCCCAGGGGACCAACAGGGCAUCUGCCCAAGAGUCUGGAGGGCACUGACAGAGAUAACACCGUGAGGGAGGGUGAGACCAAUGCUUUAUAUACGUAGUUUAGAAUUUGAUCCCUGCUGGUAGAAAGAAGAUGUGCUUUGUGAGAGCCUGUGGUAAUUGCCCUUCGUAAGGAUGGUCUCAAAAGGUCAAGGGAUGGGCCUUGAAUAGCCCUAAUGUCCCUGAAACGGUCUAUUGUAUAGCUAUUGUCUCUACAUGGAAAGGAAUACUUGUCUUUUUUUGCCUCUGUGGUUUCCUAAGUGAAUAAUUACAUACUACCUUAUCUCCAGACCCAACUCUACCUCCUUUAAGCUUCAACAACAAAAGAGUUCAACACACAUUUCUUGAGCUCCAACUAUGUGCCAGGUAUCAGGCUAUGUGCUGGGGAUACAGAGGUGAAUAAUACACAGUCUUUUCUCUGGGGAAUCCACAGUCUAGUUUUCGAAAGAUUUUCCUUCACGCUGACCUUUUGGCGUUUUGUAAACAAAUCUGCAUCUAGCCCCUUUAUAUUUUCGUAUGCAUGGAUCAUAUCCUUAGCCUCCAUCUUUACAAUCUUCUAAAUUUUGCUUCAUCUGCUAACCGCUGCUUUUCCCUUGACCAAUUUAAAUGACUUUCUCUGGACUCUGGUACAUCUUCCUCUGGAGCUAAGUGACCAGAACUAGGCACUGUAUUUCAUAUACAAAUGCUGUAUGAAUGUGUGUACAAGAGUAACACUAUGUUUUCUAACUUUGUUUAUCUACUCGCCAUUCAUUCAUACAUCCAGUAGUGACUGAGUGCACACCGACCACCAUGCACUGUGCCAGGUGCUGAGGGUGCAGUGGUAAAGUAAAAUGGACACUGCUGUAGAAGGAGAACAAUUACAACGGUCUGAACGGCUCGGAACUUUCCCAGUGUCCCAGCAUGAUGUGGCUGUGUCUGGCUGGCACUUGGGAGGCCAGCCCCAGCCUAGCAGCCCUCAGGCCCUUGGAGAAUGUGGUUUGGUGUGGUGACAUCUACUGGCAAGGCUAGGCAGCACCUACACCUGACAGAGUUUACCACCAGACGUAAUUGGGGAGUUGGAGUGAGAGUGAGGAGAAAUACUGGAGAAAUAAUUAUGAAGCAAAUAUUCUGCCUUCUUAAUAACACUGACUUUAUAACUGAAUGUGGCUCAGACAAAGCAUCUAUCUAUCUAUCUCACAUUUAAACUUAAAAUCAUCAAGACCCUGCUAGAGAAAUGCAUAACAAAUAAGAUUUCAAAGAAGAGGAAACAGAACUAGUAAAUAAACACAGGAAGACUGAAGUAUGUCCUAACUAGAAAUAAAAUCAAAAGCACUUGUGAGGGAGAGUUUUCAUUUUUACUAAAAUUGCAAUAUUUUAUUAAGUAGUAAUAGUUAGUUCUGGGAACAAUGUCUUUAAACUGGCACCAUCACACAAUGAUGGUGACAUUUUAAAUUUGGGCAAGUCUUUGGGGAAAGAAAUAAAACCAUAUAGAAGUGGUAUAAAUAAAGACAAGAGAGAGCUAUGGAAGCAGGCAGACGCUCAGUGCAGCAUUAUCUGACAUAAAAGACCCUCAGUGACCCCAAUAUGAGAAUGAAAGCACAUCAUGUCACAGUACCACAAUGCAAUGUCACACAGCGGUUAGAAAUACAAUUAUGAAGACUACAGAGAAACACGGGAAAUGUUGAGAAUGUGUAAAAAACAUGAAACUUCAUGUAAAGAAUGAGUGCAUCUAUACAAAAUCAUGCGUGUUUAAUAAAACGUAUGCAUGUGGAGAAAAAUUGGAAGGCAAUAUGCAAAAGAUAGAAAUAACUUUGUGGCAGCAGUAAGAUUAAGGAUGUCUUUUAUUUUCUCAAAAAUGUAUUUAGUGUUAUUCACCGGAUUAAUAAUCUUGGAAAAAGUGGAGAGGGGUGGGACAGGUGAAAGUCAUACUCCCCUAGCUCCCUCCGGUAUACAUUUGUCCUACAUCAUCAGCUCUAGAGGGGAAAGACCACGUCUGUGUUUUCACCGUGGGCACUCGGCUCCCAGCCCAAUGCCUAGCACUUAUCAGAUGCUCA
rnacentral:lncRNA from 1 species